rnacentral:lncRNA from 1 species
UAGUUAGUUUUUUUUACAGAUUCUAAAUAAAUAAUGAUAAGAGAAUCGAGAGGUUACCUCACCGUCUUGAUAAUUUGCCAUUAGACACAUGUUGGCUUUUACUUCUUCAUAUUCCAAGGAUUCCAUAUCAUGGUCUUCCUAUGCAACAUAAGUUUUUUUUUGUUGAGUUUUUCUAAUUUUUUUAUUUUCCUUCUUAAAUAGGGGAUAAUAUAGUUUGAUGUGUCCUUUCUUUCCACAGUUGAAGCAUAUUGUAGUGAAUGAUGUUUUUCCAGUAUUUUUUUCUUUUAAUUCUUUAUAAAUCUCUUAAAG